UGGUAACAAUAGAGAUUAUCUCAGAUGUUGAGUCAAAUAGUUCCAAGGCUGGAGCUCCACAAUGUUUCAGUGGAGGUAGAAUUGAGAUUAGCGCUUAAAGAUGGCAAGGAAGAUGCCUGACAUCUUCUGCAGUCAGGAUCCAGCUGAAGCAGGUUAAACUGUCCAAGAAGAUCACAAGAGCUGCAGAGCAAGUUGCUGGAGAAGCCUAACUCUCUGCAAGCUUCUGAUGAAAACUCUGCCCCGAAUGUAGACACCUGAAAAUAAAAUAAUGAGAAAUAAAACACUAUUUCAUA